UUUUUUUCGGGAAUAAUAAAGAAAAGUUAAUUAAUAUAUUGAAAACAAAAUAAACAUUUGUAAUUUGUAAAAUUGUAAAUUUUACAACAUCACAAUAUUUAUUAAUGUUUAUACUUGCUUGUCAUAUUCAACACAGAAUUCUUCUAGGAAAGCAAUUUGCCCAGCUCUAAUGGAUGCAUUACUUGAACACGCACAUGCACGCAGAUCAUGUUACUGGAUCAGGGAAAUUAAAGUCUUUUUUACCAAGUUGUCUCUCAAUGAUAUCUCAUAUGAGUGGAGCUCAUGCGGAUAUUUUCUUAUCUCCAACGGAGGAAAUUAAGUUUGGAAGACAUCGGUUAGUGUGCUAUCCUACUCCUGGGCAUACACAAGGUUGUAUGACAUUUGUAUGUAAUGAACAAGGAAUCGUUUUCACUGGCGACACACUUUUAAUUCGAGGAUGUGGAAGAACUGAUUUUCAGGAAGGAUGUUCUGAAACGUUAUACAAUUCAGUGCACUCAGUAAUAUUCAAACUUCCAGGCAACUUUAAAGUUUAUCCUGCUCAUGAUUAUACUGGAAGAACAAUGACAACAGUUGCGGAAGAAAAAAAAUUUAACCCAAGAUUAACCAAAUCUCUUAAGGAAUUUAUGAAAAUUAUGGACAAUUUGAACUUACCGCCUCCGAAAAUGAUAGAAACAGCUGUCCCUGCUAAUAGACUGUGUGGCUUAUAUAACUUGGAAACAGAAAAGGAAUAAAAAAAAUUACAUGCAAUUUGUACAACCUUUUUUGAUCUGUUGGUUCUCGUAUUUAAAAAAAAUAUAACUCACAUUAAACAAAAAAGAGCAAAAACAGUUAAAUAUAAUGAGUUGAAAAACCAUUAAAAAUAUCAAGGAGUUGCUACAAGCAAACGAAAAAAAUUGGUACGUGAUAGAAACCCUUUCUGAGAGGAAUCACGUCGCGGCACAGUGGUCUGAAGGACUCGAAAAGCUGCCAAAAUUCAAAAUAUAAUGGGGAUUGGUUGGAACUGCUCACAAUAAGAUUCUUGAGUUCGCUGAGUCUACAUUUCUAGUAAAUAUAAUAAAAUAAAAAAUAGUAGAUAUAAUAUGGCGGAUAAAAGUGUUUAAAAUUCAAUUAUUGAACACAAACGUUCUUAGUAGGAAGGUUUUUGCAUUCGUAAAAUCUGAAACUGUUAUAAAAAAUAACAAUGAACAAUUAAUAGAAUUUGAGAAAUAGAAAAUUGUAAUAUUAAAGUUUUAAAAUGGAUUUUAAAUUUAAUAUUUUUAAACCUUUUUUUUAAAAAGUUACUAAGGUGUUCUUCUAUUAAAC